AACGAACGCUGGCGGCAUGCCUAACACAUGCAAGUCGAACGAUGCCUUCGGGCAUAGUGGCGCACGGGUGCGUAACGCGUGGGAAUCUGCCCUUGGGUUCGGAAUAACAGUUGGAAACGACUGCUAAUACCGGAUGAUGACGUAAGUCCAAAGAUUUAUCGCCCGAGGAUGAGCCCGCGUCGGAUUAGCUAGUUGGUGGGGUAAAGGCCUACCAAGGCGACGAUCCGUAGCUGGUCUGAGAGGAUGAUCAGCCACACUGGGACUGAGACACGGCCCAGACUCCUACGGGAGGCAGCAGUGGGGAAUAUUGGACAAUGGGCGCAAGCCUGAUCCAGCAAUGCCGCGUGAGUGAUGGAGGCCUUAGGGUUGUAAAGCUCUUUUACCCGGGAAGAUAAUGACUGUACCGGGAGAAUAAGCCCCGGCUAACUCCGUGCCAGCCGCCGCGGUAA
rnacentral:rRNA from 1 species